CGGCAGCGACACUAUGUGUUGUUGGGUAGGGGAGCGUUCUGUAAGCCUGUGAAGGUGUACUGUGAGGUAUGCUGGAGGUAUCAGAAGUGCGAAUGCUGACAUAAGUAACGAUAAAGCGGGUGAAAAGCCCGCUCGCCGGAAGACCAAGGGUUCCUGUCCAACGUUAAUCGGGGCAGGGUGAGUCGACCCCUAAGGCGAGGCCGAAAGGCGUAGUCGAUGGGAAACAGGUUAAUAUUCCUGUACUUGGUGUUACUGCGAAGGGGGGACGGAGAAGGCUAUGUUGGCCGGGCGACGGUUGUCCCGGUUUAAGCGUGUAGGCUGGUUUUCCAGGCAAAUCCGGAAAAUCAAGGCUGAGGCGUGAUGACGAGGCACUACGGUGCUGAAGCGACAAAUGCCCUGCUUCCAGGAAAAGCCUCUAAGCAUCAGGUAACAUCAAAUCGUACCCCAAACCGACACAGGUGGUCAGGUAGAGAAUACCAAGGCGCUUGAGAGAACUCGGGUGAAGGAACUAGGCAAAAUGGUGCCGUAACUUCGGGAGAAGGCACGCUGAUAUGUAGGUGAAGCGACUUGCUCGUGGAGCUGAAAUCAGUCGAAGAUACCAGCUGGCUGCAACUGUUUAUUAAAAACACAGCACUGUGCAAACACGAAAGUGGACGUAUACGGUGUGACGCCUGCCCGGUGCCGGAAGGUUAAUUGAUGGGGUUAGCGGUAACGCGAAGCUCUUGAUCGAAGCCCCGGUAAACGGCGGCCGUAACUAUAACGGUCCUAAGGUAGCGAAAUUCCUUGUCGGGUAAGUUCCGACCUGCACGAAUGGCGUAAUGAUGGCCAGGCUGUCUCCACCCGAGACUCAGUGAAAUUGAACUCGCUGUGAAGAUGCAGUGUACCCGCGGCAAGACGGAAAGACCCCGUGAACCUUUACUAUAGCUUGACACUGAACAUUGAGCCUUGAUGUGUAGGAUAGGUGGGAGGCUUUGAAGUGUGGACGCCAGUCUGCAUGGAGCCGACCUUGAAAUACCACCCUUUAAUGUUUGAUGUUCUAACGUGGGCCCCUUACCGGGGUUGCGGACAGUGUCUGGUGGGUAGUUUGACUGGGGCGGUCUCCUCCUAAAGAGUAACGGAGGAGCACGAAGGUUGGCUAAUCCUGGUCGGACAUCAGGAGGUUAGUGCAAUGGCAUAAGCCAGCUUGACUGCGAGCGUGACGGCGCGAGCAGGUGCGAAAGCAGGUCAUAGUGAUCCGGUGGUUCUGAAUGGAAGGGCCAUCGCUCAACGGAUAAAAGGUACUCCGGGGAUAACAGGCUGAUACCGCCCAAGAGUUCAUAUCGACGGCGGUGUUUGGCACCUCGAUGUCGGCUCAUCACAUCCUGGGGCUGAAGUAGGUCCCAAGGGUAUGGCUGUUCGCCAUUUAAAGUGGUACGCGAGCUGGGUUUAGAACGUCGUGAGACAGUUCGGUCCCUAUCUGCCGUGGGCGCUGGAGAACUGAGGGGGGCUGCUCCUAGUACGAGAGGACCGGAGUGGACGCAUCACUGGUGUUCGGGUUGUCAUGCCAAUGGCACUGCCCGGUAGCUAAAUGCGGAAGAGAUAAGUGCUGAAAGCAUCUAAGCACGAAACUUGCCCCGAGAUGAGUUCUCCCUGACUCCUUGAGAGUCCUGAAGGAACGUUGAAGACGACGACGUUGAUAGGCCGGGUGUGUAAGCGCAGCGAUGCGUUGAGCUAACCGGUACUAAUGAACCGUGAGGCUUAACCUU
rnacentral:rRNA from 1 species